GCCAUGGUAGCUCGGUUGGUAGGGCAUCGAACGCAUUAUUCGAAGGUCGAAGGUUCGAUUCCUGCCCAUGGCA